rnacentral:lncRNA from 1 species
CCGAGUCCAAGGCAAUCUGCAACAGACUCGUCGAGUUGUUCUUCCAACUCGUCGAGUUCCUGCCUAUCUUCAUGCAAGUCGUCGAGUACACCUAUGUGACUCCCCAAGUUACUACGCGACUCAUGCCAAAUCUCUAGUCUGACUCGCCGAGUCAUCUCCCAGACUCGUCGAGUCCAACCGUGAAGUUCCAUAAUCUCGAGUCACAGAGCCACUCCCUUACUCCAAACACUAGAUCAGGGUCCCUAUGGUUCAUUAGCAACAUAAAGUUGCUACCUUUACGUGCUUCCAUGACCCAUUCAUCAAAAACCAAGUUAAAAUGGAGCUUAACUCAUUAGGGAUGGCUUUUACAUGGCUAAUCAAAGGGCUUUCUUCACAUAGAAUCCAUAUGGAACUCAGAUCUGGAGUUUCAACUCCAGAUCUAACUCAUGCAUCAAGAUCUCAACAUAAAUUCUUCCCAACAAACCCUAAAGCUCCAAAAAGGUGGAUCUAGAAGGAAUAAAGCCAAGAUGAUGAAUCCUUACCUCAAAACAACCCCCAACUAAAGAGUAAACCAAAUCUCCUCAAACCUUCUUGAUCCAAGCUCCUUAGUCUUGAAGAUUUCCUUCUUAAACCCCUUAUCCAAGCUCCAAAAUGCUCCCAAGGCUCUUCUCUUAUGAUUUUAGGGCUUCUGGUCCUCAGAGGGGUAAUAAGGGGCCAAAAUGGGGGCUUAAGGCUCUUUAAAUAGGGUGCAAACCCUAUGAAUUAGGGUUUCUCAUUCCAGCACAGACUCACCGAGUCCAGCCUGCUGAAUCGCCGAGUUGGUUACUAAACACGUUACCACAAUUGCGACUCGACUCGUCGAGUCUGUCCAUUGACUCGCCGAGUCGAUCCUCCUUAAUUACACCAAGCACCUUGAACUUGCACUUCUGAACUCAGGGUGUUACAAUUCCCCCUACUUAAAUUAGGCUUCGUCCUCGAAGCCUGCAACAACACAUCCUAGAUGACUCUCCCUCGAUAUAGCUCCUGGUCUCAACCGACCUAGGUUCCUCCGAACACUGCUAUCAGACCUAUAUAAAGUCCAACUCUUCCCUCCCAGAGUUACAACAACUUAUUCAAGCCGACCACCGACUUCUUUCUCUGAUAAGAACUAUUAUUAACCAAUGAUCACCUGAUGAUACUUUCAUCACUCCAAUUCACAACAAUCACUUGACCCUUACCAAGCUAGAUAUCGCCCUGAACCACCGGUUCCUGACCCAGUACCAAGCUGCUACCCCUUUCCUCGACUGACAUAUCCUUUAUCGAAUUCACUUCUGGGACUCAUCCCACUUUCUUUUUCGAAACCAACUUAUUUCUUUCCGAGCUGACAGGACGGCACAUCCUUCAGCUCCUGAGCAACUCUCAUGAGCUCUCCCCUACAGUCACAUAUGCAUGCUGAAUGUGCUCUAACAUCCUCGGGCUGGAAAACCCGAUACACUGACGAUACCUUCAAACAUCCCUAGGAUGAAUUACCGCUGCAUACAUAACUUCUUGAUCACAACCAUACUGGAAAAUCCAAGGCUCCCUCCUUGCAUCCCCUCUGAACUCCUCUAGUUCUACACUACCAGAAAUCCUUCUGUAACCUCAACAAACACCCAACCCGGAUGUGUUUCCAUACCACUGGUACAAUCCCAGUACUUACUACCCAUAGCUGAAGCAUUGUCGAUUAUCCAUUUGCUCCACUUUUGGAGUACCCACGCUCCUUCCGGAGCUACAUGCCUUUCCUUUCCAAGAAAUCCACUCUACAACCUUUACUGCACCUACACGAGCCAUUGAGCUACACUUCACUCUACAUUAUCCAUGUAGAGAAACUACUAUUCUCGAACUUCCAUAUACCCUGAAUCUGCUCGCCAGGACUCUCGGGUCCAUGCACUACUUUCCACUAACAUGAUCAAUACUUAGGGCCAGACCAUAUCAAUUAUCAUCCCCUGGUGACGCUUUUCCUCAUUCUCCUCGUACCAAUCCACUAACAUACAGAGUCUUCAGCAUCACUGGACCGCCUUACCAGGCCUUCAGCCUAUCUUGACCACUCUCGGAACCUUCAACAUAUCUGGACUGCCCUCCUGGGCCUUCAGUCUGUCUGGACCUUUCCCCCGAGCCUUCGGCCUGACUGGUACGCCCACAGGCCUUCAAUCUGUCCGGACCGCUCAAACUGUCUUAUUUCACCCUGAACAUUUCCUUCCGGGAAUCUCUCCCGUACAUACUGUUCUAGCCCUCUUGGGGUUCCAAACUCUAACUCCAUUAUACUCAAAUCUCGGCCUAACCCUAGGCCCAACCCUGGGCUGUAUCUCGCCCCACUCGUCUGCCACUUACUCAUACCAGCCCACGCUCUUGGCUGACUGAAACACUCCUGAAACCCACACAGCUAAUUGACCUCUCAUGCUGUCGAUCCUCGUGAGAAUUUUCCAAUUCUCUCCACUUAGAGCACUGAGUACAAACCACCGGUGACUGAACCGUCAUAAUCAAUCAUUCCUACUCAACAUACUCCUCUUACCCAUGAACUGAUCCUGAAACAAGCAACUUCCACAAAAUCACGUUUCGACCUCGUACAUCUCGAACUCUAAGGGAGUUCGACCCUCAGUUGAGUAUUCCUCAAAUUGCAAAUGCUAUACACGACACUCGGACCAAAAAGCCUAAUUCCCCACCAACAAUUCCCAUGGAUGAUAACCAAUUAAGACUCCCAAUACCAAAACCCUCGAUCAUACGAUAAACCCGACGAAAAGACAAACGAAUACCAUACCAUGAUUCAUGUGAACAAGACUAGCAGAUAUAAAAUACUCCAUAACAACCAUAAGAUAACAAGAUAUCAAGAAGGAAACAUACCCGCAGCUGUAUCCAGAUCUGCCCUGACCUCCUCUGCUAUAAGCUGAAAAGCACGUCCCUGAGCCCUCGGAGGCUCUGCUCUACCCUGACCUCCACCCGUAAUCCUUAAAGUGGUUGGUGAUGGAGCCUGCACCGGUCCGGCAGUAAGCUGAGGAAAGUUGACCCUCAUGUGACCAACCUGAUGACACUGAUAACAAAUCCUCAUAUCCUAAACUGGGGCUGACUGACAACAAUCCCUCACAUAAUGCCCCUCUCUCCCGCACUUGCGACACACACCACCGGACCUACAAACUCCGGUAUGACUCUUCCCGCACCUCCCACAAGUGCGGCUGCCCUGAUCUCCCAACCUAGAAUCAACGGGCUUGGACCGUUUCGGUGCCGGCUGCGACUGCGCCGCGGCCUGACUUUGCUCUCUGAAUUGUAACUCAAUCUCCAACUUACGCCUCCUGGUGGCCUUCUACAACUCUAACAAGGUAUCACAUCUCUGCGUGGACACAAACUGCCUGAUGUCCCUCUUAGGCAUACUCAGAUAUCGGGACAUCUGAGCCUGCUCCGAAGCAAACUUAGGGAAAAACAUCGCCCUCUCAGUAAACAUCCUAGUGAUCUCCGUCACCGAAUCUGUAUCCUGCUUUAGCUACAAGAACUCCUGAGCCAACCUCUCCCUCUCAACUCGUGGAACAUAACGAGUGUUGAACAUCUCCCGGACUGAUCCCAUGCAACCGCAGCCCGCUGCGCAUCAGAAUAAGACCCCAUAGUCCCCCCCCACCAAUCCUUCGCCCCGAGCCUCAACAGGUUUAGAGCACACCUCACCCUCUGAUCAGCAGGGCAUGAACAUGUGAAGAAACACCCCUCCACAUCCGAAAACCAUCGCAUCGCAACGAUCGGAUCCUGAACUCCAUCGAAAGCAGGGGGAUUCGUAUUGUCGAAGUCCUGAUACUGAAAACCUCUACCGGCUCCUCCUCUUGCCGCUGCUACAGCCGCUGUAGCCACCGCGGCAGCCAUCUCAGUAAGAGCUGCAUAGCGCUUAUCAAAGUACUCAACCAUGGCGGUCUUGAUCGACCCAAACAGUUCCGACAACUCAGCCCGGAACAUAGCAGCAACCUCAUCAUGCAGGAUCUCACGAAUCCUGGCAUCCAACUCAUCCGUACUUAUCUGGCCAACAACCUCGGGUGGUGCUGACCCCUCCUGACCACCCUCUCACGCUCCUGAUCCCAAACCGGAUCCUGCCUCGAAACGUCUCGUAAUCGCCAUUCUGCAAUACACCAUGAGAUCCUCAGAAACCUCAUAUAACCACCCAGAAUGACUCUCUAAUCAACCACCCAGGGGUUGUGACUUCCUUGCUACGCGUAUGGGUCCAAUGCUUUCAGUAGUACGGGCCCAUACUACCUUCCACACCUACCCAUAUUUGUCUCAAGUAUCAUCACAAUGCCCCAAGCACUAACGAAUAUAGCAAGCACUCUAUCCUCACUCCUAGAGGAACACUAAAACUCUCAUCAAAGGAGACCCUAGGCUAGCAGGCAUCACAAUCAGGCAAAUCUAUCAUGCACUUCCUGAAGAUCCCUAGCCUAACACUAGCAUGAUGUUCUAACAUAUCACAUAAACAAAUAACUUGUAUGGUAAUUUUGGGGUAACUUACUGGCUCCGGCUGAUCGUACCCUCUGCGUCCUCUUUUACUUAUUUUUAAAAACCAUUUUUAAUUUCUCUUUGAAAACUCUCCUUGAUUUGAGACUGAAUUCACACGAAUGUUCCUCCAAUUCACUCAAACCAAGGCUCUGAUACCAACUUGUAACGUCCAAAAUUUUUCAACCAAUUUAAACUUUUCAAAAACAACCCUUAUUCAUUAAUUCAUUACAAAAAGGUUUUCAAUUCAUUUAUUAUCAGAGUAUUUCCCAGAACCAUAUCAUAAAUACAUAAAACACGAGGAGCGGUACGAUCACGCCUACGCCUUGCCACGAUCUUCUGAAGUACCUGAAACAAUACACUGAAAACUGUAAGCCCGAAAGCUUAGUGAGUUGCCCCAAAAAUACCAACCACAUAUACCAUACUCAUAACACAUCAUAUCAUAAACAGAACAGCCAUGCACUUCGGGUCUACUGCGUGACAGGUCCGCUGCACCGGGCCUUCAGUCCACCUGGUCCACCCUUCGAGUCUAGCCAUAUAGAUCGAGUCUGCAGUGUGGUUGGUCUGCCCGCACCGGGCCUUCAACCCACCUGGUCCACUCUCUGAGUCUACAGUAUGACUGGUCUGCCCGCACCAGGCCUUUAGUUGGCCUGGUCCACUCUCCGAGCCUCGACACGUCUGGUCCGCCCUCGUGGGGCCUACAGCCUAUCCGGACCGCUCGCUGGGCCUUCGGGAUACCGACCUAACCGGUCACUAACAUAGCAUCAUCCUAUAUACCAGGAUUCCGACCUUAACCAGCUCUCUAACAUAUACAAUCCUAACUACCAGAUUGCAAACAUAUAGCAAAGCAAUAACAUAACAACUACCCGGAUUUCCAUCCGAUAAAGGGCCGGCCUUGGUGCCUUAGACCCUGUCGAUAUAGUGAGGAUAACUCACCUCGCAAAGCCGAUCUGCGGAAAUAAGAUGACGCUGCUCCAACCUCCGAUACGAACUCCACCACUGAUCAAUACCAAAAGACUGAACUCAAUAAAUACCAAUAAUCACCAAAAUACCUUUGAAGUCAAUUGGUCAACUCUUGGUCAAAGUCAAAGUCCUCAGUCAAAGUCCACCUUUCUGUGUGACCCUACUCGCCGAGUCGCCCCGUCGACUCGCCAAGUCCCAUAAUUCUGGGUCCCUUCUGGCUCAACUCACCGAGUCCUCCCUCGACUCACCGAUUCACCGUUCAACCAGAAAAGGUUAGGACUCCACGACCAAACCCGCCGAGUCCAAAAACAGACUUGCCGAGUCCAAGGCAAUCUGCAACAGACUCGCCGAGUUGUUCUUCCAACUCGUCGAGUUCCUGCCUAUCUUCAUGCAAGUCGUCGAGUACACCUAUGUGACUCGCCAAGUUACUACGCGACUCAUGCCAAAUCUCUAGUCUGACUCGCCGAGUCAUCUCCCAGACUCGUCGAGUCCAACCGUGAAGUUCCAUAAUCUCGAGUCACAGAGCCACUCCCUUACUCCAAACACUAGGUCAGGGUCCCUAUGGUUCAUUAGCAACAUAAAGUUGCUACCUUUACAUGCUUCCAUGACUCAUUCAUCAAAAACCAAGUUAAAAUAGAGCUUAACUCAUUAGGGCUGGCUUUUGCAUGGCUAAUCAAAGGGAUUUCUUCACAUAGAAUCCAUAUGGAACUCAGAUCUGGAGUUUCAACUCCAGAUCUAACUCAUGCAUCAAGAUCUCAACAUAAAUUCUUCCCAACAAACCCUAAAGCUCCAAAAAGGUGGAUCUAGAAGGAAUAAAGCCAAGAUGACGAAUCCUUACCUCAAAACAACCCCCAACUGAAGAGUAAACAAAAUCUCCUCAAGCCUCCUUGAUCCAAGCUCCUUAGUCUUGAAGAUUUCCUUCUUAAAUCACUUAUCCAAGCUCCAAAAUGCUCCCAAGGCUCUUCUCUUAUGAUUUUAGGGCUUUUGGUCCUCAGAGGGGUGAUAAGGGGCCGAAAUGGGGGCUUAAGGCUCCUUAAAUAGGGUGCAAACCCUAGGAAUUAGGGUUUCUCAAUCCAGCACGGACUCGCCGAGUCCAGCCUGCUGACUCUCCGAGUUGGUCACUAAACACGUGACCACAAUCACGACUCGACUCAUCGAGUCUAUCCAUUGAAUCGCCGAGUCGAUCCUCCUUAAUUACACCAAGCACCCUGAACUUGCACUUCUGAACUCGGGGUGUUACAAGACUGGUCCGAAUUCGUAGUUACAGUGAUAGGCAGUUUUGUAAAAAUCAUCAAAAAAUGUAGGAAAAUUGAGUGAAUAUGUUCAAGUAUUCAUUUUAAAGGUAUAAACCUAAACUAUUUGCAUCUAAUACAGGUUUGAAAACUAAAAAGUUUAAGAAGUUUAAAACAGUCCGUGAAUGAACAUUAACUUUUCUGUUGAAAGCUGAUGUUUGAGUUUAAUUGUGUUCUUGGUGCUUUAACUUGUAUCCCCCCUUAUAAACUUAAGAAAACAUGAAAAUAUAGGGGUAUGAACUUACCUUGAAUGAUCUCUUAGGAUGGAUGAUGGAGAAAAGGAGUUUCCAAGUCAAGAACACUUGGGAGAUGCUUGAAGAUUUGAAGGUUCUAUGAACAAAUAUGAUGAUAUUUGUGUAAGCAAUCCAGAAUUUGGAGGAAGGAUAGUAGAAUAUUUAUGUGUAGGAGGAAGAUACUUACCAAAUGUGGAGGAAAAACCCAAUAUCAGCCUUUGAAUCUCGAAUUUUAGAGAGAGAAAGUGAGAGAGAUGUGUUUGUUCUUCAUGAGAAAGAGUGAAUAAAGUGGGGGAGAGAUAAGGAUUUUUCCCAUCCUUGAGUAUUGAACCUUGCUGGAGAGAGGUGGUGAAAGGACAAUUAGCUGACUAGGGCUGAUGGGAAUAGUUACAUAAAGCAUGAAUAGUGACCUGGAGUGGGUAUGAGAGGUUGCUUGUGUCAUAACUUUAUGGCAAAGUCAACACUCUAUCACCAAAUCCUACCCACUAGAUAUUAUUCUUAGACUAAGAUUUUCCCCCAAAAAUGAUUAAAAUAUGAAUAUUUAGGGUCUUAUAUGACAAAAUAUAAUUUUGGGUGAAAAUCCCGUGUUAAAAUCAUGAAAAACGGGCUUAAAACGCAAAAGUGGUCUAAAAUCGGGAAAAUAGAAGCGAAUAUGCGAAAAUCUGAACUCUGGCAGAAGGUUCGGUUCUUAGAAGGUGAGGACCAAAGGUAGAGAGGAGGAACCAAAGGUGAGGCUCGUUUGUCUGAUGAGAACCGAGAGGGGGUUCGGUCCGAGCACUUCGCAUGCUAACACGGGAAUGGAGGGGAAAUAGACCGAGGCUCGGUCCUGAAGGUAGUUUUGGUUUUGACAGGUUCGGUCCCUAUGGUUCGGUUCUUAACCUAGUUUCGGUUCCUAUAGGGGCUUCAGUUCUAAUUAAGGUUUCAGUCCUUAAGGGCUAUUUUUCAAGUUUUCUUCCCGUUUUGAGUGAUUUUUGGCCAAGUUAAGGGUCGGGAUGACUCGGAUGACUAUAAAAAGUUGAGAGAGAUUUUGAGAGAGAUAUGGGAGAGAUUUGGGACAGAUUUGAGAGAGAGAGAGAGAUUGAUAAAGAGAUAUUGAGAGAGACUUUUUUGUGACCUUUUUGGAUGUUGAGCUUCGCAAUGCAAGGUUGGUACAUCCCGUUAAGAUUUGUUAUGAUGGUUAUAUGCCCUCGAGGGGUACGGAAUAACGUUUUAUCGAAUAGUUUCAUCAGUUACCCCGAUUAGGGUUUAGAAUCUCUAAACGUGUGAACUUUCCAAGUGAUAACUUCUUAUUAAAAUAGUAAGUUGUACGAUAGUAACAUAAUGUAAACCCUAAUAUACAAGGGUUAGAUGAGUUGACCGAUUUGACCUAUUGGCUUUAUUUGAUUUUGGCUUGAUCGGAAAUUGACGGUUGUCACAACUAGAUGAAGUUAUAUUAUGAGGCGUGAUAGUUGGUUAUGUGCUAGGAAGUAUGCUAGUUGUAUAUGUGGUAUGCUUGUAAGGAAGACCAUAGGAGAGCCUAUGGCACUUGGAUGUAAGACCAUGUGGAGAACCCAUGGCUUUCUUACAAAAGACCAUGGGAGAGCCCAUGGAAACCAGAUGUAAGACCAUUUGGAGAGCCCAUAACUUUCCAAUUAAAGACCAUGGGAGAGCCCAUGGCACUUAGGUUUAAUACCAUGUGGGGAGCCUAUGACAUCCUGGAGUAAGACCCUUGGGAUGAGCCCAUGACAUCCCUAUAUGUUGUAUGCAUGACUUAUGUGGUUUAUGUAGCUUUUAUAGGUAAUAUGGUUGUGUGAUUAUGUGGAUUGUAUGGGGGUAUGCUCUGGGGAACUCACUGAGCAUUAGCUUACAGUUUGUGGAUUUGUUUCAAUUACAUCUGAGCCUAAUGGCAAGGGCAAGGCUUGAAGAUGCGACAUGCACACUCUCUCAGGCGUUUUUAUGGGACACUCUGAUGUUUAAAAUAAUAUUGUUGAUGUUAUGAAUUUGAAAACAAAUGUACUUGAGAUUUUAUGGUUUAUUGAAAAUGUUUUGACUACUUAAAAAUGAAAAUUUUCUUUUGAAAAAUUGGGUGGUAACAAUACUCCCCCAACUUAUAUAUUGAGCUCUCUUAUCAAUAAAAAAACUAUCAUCUAUCUCUUCGAGUGUUUUGACAGUAGAAAAUAUUGAUUCUUGAGUUAUAAAAAGCACAUUCUGCUAUGAGAGAAUUUGAGUAAGGAUAUUGUUUUGUGCAACAACAUUUUCACUUUGCCAAUUUAGAGUUUCCUUGUAACAUCCCGACUCCCAAGUAUUUCCUUAUUAUUUAUUGAUCUUUAUUAUUGUAACUUCAGGAGUGACUCGAAAAGUUGUGAGCCUAACUCAUCGAGUAGAGUCCGAUUUGACCACGUGGGUUUAAUGAUCAACUCGACGAGUCAGAGAGCUGACUCGCCGAGUAGGCGCUAUGAGGUGAAACCCUAAAUCUUUGGGGUUGGGGCCUAUUUAAGAGAACUUAUGUCCUCAUUUCCGCCUCACCAGCUGUCCAAAUCCCCUUUGUAAAACCCUAAACGCUUGUAGUGAGCUAAGAGAGCUAUAGGGCUAAUUUUUGGAGUGUUCAAGUGCAUCUUUUGAGGAGAUCGAAUAGGAGUUUAUCCAGCAAGGAACGAGGAGAAACUGUUGGAUCUAGUGCUAUAUCGACCAAAGCUUCUAUGGAAGGUAAAAGCCUACACCUCUAUCAUCUUAUUAGUUAGAUCUCAUGAUUAUGGAAGUUAAGGCUUUACCACCUUUUGUUGGGACAUUGAGUGCAUUGAGUCUAUCAGGAGGUCUAGACUUCAGAUCUGGACCUUGUGAGGUCCAUAAACUCCAAAGGUACCAACUUUAUUCAGCCAUAAAAGAGUAUUUGUGCCUAAACACCCUUGUUAGAGUUGUAAUGGCAUUUUGGAGCAAAAUAUUCCAUGCAUGGAAGUAAUGAUCGAGGCUUUACGUGACUUUCGAGCCUUGGGAGCCUAGAUCUAGGGUGUGGAGCAGUAGAUAUGACUUAAGAAUUCUGAAUGAGAAUUCUGAAUGAGAAUUCAGACUGAAGGGACUCGCUGAGUCAACGAGUCGACUAGGGUUUCCCCGAUGAGUCUGGAAAAGGGUGACUCGGCGAGUUCAUGAGACAAAUCGACAAGUUGAGAUGGGUUUUUGCGACAUUUUGAGGAACACUGGGGACUCGACGAGUCACGUAACUGCACUCGACGAGCUGGAUCAACAUGGGCAGUUGGCUUGAGUAUUGGCUUCUCUUGACUUUAGGGUUUGGUCAAGAUAGGGUCUAUGGGGGCCAUGGAGGGGUAAAAUGGUCUUUUACCCAUCUCAAGAGUUAGAAAGAGUUUAGCGUGAGUUAUAUGACAUUUUGAUAUUUAUGAGUUAAUUAGAGAUGCUUAUUGCAUGUAGGCGGAGAUUAGGUUGUUUGAAGGGUAUCCAGUUUUCUUUGCUUACUUACGAGGUGAGUCUUCUCACUAUACUUACCAUGAGUGGUAUUUAUGUGUGACUGGAGGGUCUUAUGUGCUUACUUGAGUACCGUGAUAUUAUACAUUUUGUCUAUGUGAUAUAUAUAUAUAUAUAUAUAUAUAUAUAUAUAUAUAUAUAUAUAUAUAUAUAUAUAUAUGAUAUAN